rnacentral:rRNA from 1 species
UACGGAGGGUGCAAGCGUUAUCCGGAAUCACUGGGUUUAAAGGGUGCGUAGGCGGUUUGAUAAGUCAGUUGUGAAAUUCACCGGCUUAACCGGUAGAACUGCGAUUGAUACUGUCAGACUUGAAUCAGGUUGAGGUAGGCGGAAUGUGGCAUGUAGCGGUGAAAUGCAUAGAUAUGCCAUAGAACACCGAUUGCGAAGGCAGCUUGCUGGACCUAGAUUGACGCUGAGGCACGAAAGCGUGGGGAGCAAACAGG